rnacentral:rRNA from 1 species
AUGCCUUACCAUGCAAGUCGAACGGUAACGCGGGGCAACCUGGCGACGAGUGGCGAACGGGUGAGUAAUAUAUCGGAACGUGCCCAAUAGUGGGGGAUAGCCCGGCGAAAGCCGGAUUAAUACCGCAUGAGACCUAAGGGUGAAAGCGGGGGAUUCGCAAGAACCUCGCGCUAUUGGAGCGGCCGAUAUCAAAUUAGGUAGUUGGUGGGGUAAAAGCCUACCAAGCCGACGAUCUGUAGCUGGUCUGAGAGGACGACCAGCCACACUGGGACUGAGACACGGCCCAAACUCCUACGGGAGGCAGCAGUGGGGAAUUUUGGACAAUGGGCGCAAGCCUGAUCCAGCCAUGCCGCGUGCGGGAAGAAGGCCUUCGGGUUGUAAACCGCUUUUGUCAGGGAAAAAAUCCUUUGAGAUAACACCUCGGAGGGAUGACGGUACCUGAAGAAUAAGCACCGGCUAACUACGUGCCAGCAGCCGCGGUAAUACGUAGGGUGCGAGCGUUAAUCGGAAUUACUGGGCGUAAAGCGUGCGCAGGCGGUCUUGCAAGACAGGUGUGAAAUCCCCGGGCUUAACCUGGGAACUGCACUUGUGACUGCAAGGCUGGAGUACGGCAGAGGGGGAUGGAAUUCCGCGUGUAGCAGUGAAAUGCAUAGAUAUGCG